UGGUGGAGCGAUUUGUCUGGUUAAUUCCGAUAACGAACGAGACUCUAGCCUAUUAAAUAGUUCGCCGAUUUUUCGAGUCGGCGUCAACUUCUUAGAGGGACAAGUGUCGUAUAGACACGCGAGAUUGAGCAAUAACA
rnacentral:rRNA from 1 species